UACGGAGGGGGCAAGCGUUGUUCGGAAUUAUUGGGCGUAAAGCGUAUGUAGGCGGCUAAGUAAGUCAGGCGUGCAAGCCCGUGGCUCAACCACGGAAUUGCGUUUGAAACUACUUAGCUUGAGUACAGGAGAGGAAAGCGGAAUUCCCAGUGUAGCGGUGAAAUGCAUUGAUAUUGGGAAGAACAUCUGUGGCGAAGGCGGCUUUCUGGUCUGUUACUGACGCUGAGAUACGAAAGCCAGGGGAGCAAAGGGG
rnacentral:rRNA from 1 species